GCGCCUGUAGCUCAGUUGGAUAGAGCGGCUGACUACGAAUCAGCAGGUCGGGGGUUCGAAUCCCUCCGGGCGCACCA
rnacentral:tRNA from 1 species